rnacentral:rRNA from 1 species
GACUGCCGGUGUUAAGCCGGAGAAGUGGGAUGACGUCAAGUCCUCAUGGCCUUUAUGCCCAGGGCUACACACGUGCUACAAUGGGCGGUACAAAGAGAAGCAACCUCGCGAGGGUGAGCAAAUCUCAAAAAGCCGUUCUCAGUUCGGAUUGAAGUCUGCAACUCGACUUCAUGAAGUCGGAAUCGCUAGUAAUCGCGGAUCAGCAUGCCGCGGUCGAAUACGUUCCCGGGCCUU